rnacentral:rRNA from 1 species
AGGACGAACGCUGGCGGCGUGCUUAACACAUGCAAGUCGAGCGGUAAGGCCUCUUCGGGGGUACACGAGCGGCGAACGGGUGAGUAACACGUGAGCAAUCUGCCCUUCACUUCGGGAUAAGCCUCGGAAACGGGGUCUAAUACCGGAUAUGACCGUGCCAUGCAUGUGGUGUGGUGGAAAGUUCUGGCGGUGGAGGAUGAGCUCGCGGCCUAUCAGCUUGUUGGUGGGUAAUGGCCUACCAAGGCUUCGACGGGUA